AAAAAAAAAAAAAAAAAAAAAUUCACUGAUUGCACCAAUUGCAAUAAUGUGAAGAAACAGCAAUAUAUUGUUACAGCAAUAGUUCUGAAAUCUUAGUGUUUUAUGUUGUUGCAACAGAACACCACAGACUGGGUAUCUUAAAAAACGAAUAGAAAUUGGCUGGGCGUGGUGUAUCAUGAGGUCAGGAGUUCAAGACCAGCCUGGCCAACAUGGUGAAACCCCAUCUUUACUAAAAACUACAUAAAUUAGCUGGGUACAGUGGCAGGCACUUGUAAUCCCAGCUACUCGGGAGGCUGAGGCAGGAGAAUCACUUGAAACCAGGCGGCAGAUAUUGCAGUGAGCUGAGAUCGCACCGCUGCACACCAGCCUGGGCAAUGUGUAUUUGGCUCAUGAUUAGGAGCUGGGAAAUCCAAAAGCAUGGCACCUGUAUAUGGCAAGGGUCUUUGAUGCUGUGUGAUCCCAUGGUGGAAGGUGAGAGGACAAAGAGGGUGCGCUGAGGAGAGCAAAAGAAAAAUUUGGCUGAACUCCAUUUUAUAACAAACCCACUCCUCAGAUAGUAACAUUAAUCCAUUCCUGAGGGCACAGCCCCCAUGGCCCAAUCACCUCCCAAAGGUUCCACCUCUCAAUAACAUCACAAUGGCAAUUAAAUUUCAACAUGCAUUUUGGAGGGGACAUCCAAAAUAUGGCACUGACAAUCCUUAUUGCCCCAAAAGUAAACCAUUUCCAGAUUUCAACCAUCUUUCUGUGACAAAUCUUUUCAGUUGGCUACCACAGUACGUUUUUUUUUUUGAGACAGGGUCCAGCUCUGCUGAGGUGAGUGGAAUAGCAUGAUCACGGCUCACUGCAGCCUCACCUCCAGGGCUCAAGCAGUCCUCCCACCUCAGCCUCCCAAGUAGCUAAGACUAUAGGCAUGUGCCACCAUGCCCAGCUAAUUCUUUUUUUUGUAGAGACAGUCUCACUAUGUUGCCCAGGUUGGUCCCGACUUCCUGGACUUCAGUGAUCCUCCUGCCUCAGCCUCCCAAUGUGCCGCGAUUAUAGGUGUGAGCCACUGUACCUGACCCAGUAUGCAUUCUCAACUACUUUCUUCCUUAGCUGCCUUGGCUGUCAGGACUGAAAAAGCUAUGCAGUCAUCCCUCAUCUGUGGUUUCACUUCUGUGGUUUCAGUUACCUUGGUCCCAAAACAGCCUCCUUUGCAGCUAGAGAUGGACCUGUCACAGUUCUCAACAAUGAAACUAAGUGAAA
rnacentral:lncRNA from 1 species